rnacentral:rRNA from 1 species
GACGAACGCUGGCGGCGUGCUUAACACAUGCAAGUCGAACGGAAAGGCCCUGCUUUUGUGGGGUGCUCGAGUGGCGAACGGGUGAGUAACACGUGAGUAACCUGCCCUUGACUUUGGGAUAACUUCAGGAAACUGGGGCUAAUACCGGAUAGGAGCUCCUGCUGCAUGGUGGGGGUUGGAAAGUUUCGGCGGUUGGGGAUGGACUCGCGGCUUAUCAGCUUGUUGGUGGGGUAGUGGCUUACCAAGGCUUUGACGGGUAGCCGGCCUGAGAGGGUGAUCGGCCACAUUGGGACUGAGAUACGGCCCAGACUCCUACGGGAGGCAGCAGUGGGGAAUAUUGCACAAUGGGCGGAAGCCUGAUGCAGCAACGCCGCGUGCGGGAUGACGGCCUUCGGGUUGUAAACCGCUUUCGCCUGUGACGAAGCGUGAGUGACGGUAAUGGGUAAAGAAGCACCGGCUAAUUACGUG